UAUGCUUAACACAUGCAAGUCGAACGGCAGCACGAGAGAGCUUGCUCUCUUGGUGGCGAGUGGCGGACGGGUGAGUAACGCGUAAGAAUCUGCCUAGUAGUGGGGGAUAACUCGGGGAAACUCGAGCUAAUACCGCAUACGCCCUACGGGGGAAAGUGGGGGACCUUCGGGCCUCACGCUAUUAGAUGAGCUUGCGUUGGAUUAGCUAGUUGGUGAGGUAAUGGCUCACCAAGGCGACGAUCCAUAGCUGGUCUGAGAGGACGAUCAGCCACACUGGGACUGAGACACGGCCCAGACUCCUACGGGAGGCAGCAGUGGGGAAUAUUGGACAAUGGGCGCAAGCCUGAUCCAGCAAUACCGCGUGUGUGAAGAAGGCCUGCGGGUUGUAAAGCACUUUCAAUUGUGAAGAAAAGCUUGGGGUUAAUAGCCCCGAGUCUUGACGUUAACUUUAGAAGAAGCACCGGCUAACUCUGUGCCAGCAGCCGCGGUAAUACAGAGGGUGCGAGCGUUAAUCGGAAUUACUGGGCGUAAAGCGUGCGUAGGCGGUUUAGUAAGUCAGAUGUGAAAGCCCUGGGCUUAACCUGGGAACUGCAUUUGAAACUGCUGAACUAGAGUGUGGUAGAGGGAAGUGGAAUUCCGGGUGUAGCGGUGAAAUGCGUAGAUAUCCGGAGGAACACCAGUGGCGAAGGCGACUUCCUGGACCAACACUGACGCUGAGGUACGAAAGCGUGGGUAGCAAACAGGAUUAGAUACCCUGGUAGUCCACGCCGUAAACGAUGUCAACUAGUUGUUGGGAGCAUUCUGGCUUUUAGUAACGUAGCUAACGCGAUAAGUUGACCGCCUGGGGAGUACGGCCGCAA
rnacentral:rRNA from 1 species